rfam:Schistosoma rodhaini strain Burundi genome assembly, scaffold: SROB_scaffold0000094
AUCUAGCUGACGAGUCCCAAAUGGGAUGAAACGCCUUUCUUGGAU